rnacentral:lncRNA from 1 species
GCCAAAGCAAGACACCACCUGGCGCAUUCCCCUCCAGCAUGCUCCUUCGAGGCGAACUCUGGUCAUAUGGAGGUACAAGAGACCUAUGCUCAGAACAAGCAAGGGGUGGUGACAUCCCGACACCCAAAAAGAUGAUAUCCUAUGAAAAUACUAAACAGCCUCGACUACGAGUAGCAGAAGGCUCCAUUUAUGGAGAGGUCACCUCCUAGCGCCUUCAACUAUCCCCUUUAACUCAUGACACAUGUUAUCAUGGGAGAGAUCUCG